GCUGGGGAUAGCUGAGUUGGUAGAGUAUGAGACUCACAGGGCCGUGGGUUCAAGCCCCAUGUUGGGCA